rnacentral:lncRNA from 1 species
CUGUCGUGAAGAUAGGGCCACCCUAGCACCGAUUCAUAUCGGUACCCUAUCAACUAGUAUCAAAGCUUUCGUUGUCACGGUGCAUCUUACAAACAUCCACAUAUUUAUCUUUAGUAUAUCAAUCAUUUGUUACUGAUUUGUUCAUCACCUAUAGUCCACUGAAAAAGCCACAAAAAAUCCUAAAGCCCUUUGACGGUACUGUUAUCUUGUGUUUUGUGUUCAUCAAGUUGCUAGUCACCCUCUUUACAUAUAUUGUGUUGUGUUUCAUUUGCUAUCCGCACCCCUGUUAGUAUAAAAAAAGGGUUAAGAAAAGUCAGAAAAAAACAGAGAAAAGAAAAGAGAAAGAACAGGA